UGAGUAAAUAUUAAGAUGAAACAUUUCAAAUGAUAUUUUAUAAUAAUUUUAACUAUCAAAUGAUAAAAAUUUUCCAACUACUGUGAAUUAAAAAGAAAUUAAUGACCAGAUGAUUUUAAAUGAAGCCUAAGAAAGGGAACCCAGGCACACUGACCGUUUCACGUCCGCACAGGAAGGAACACGGGACAGGCUGACAGAGCUGCUUAAAUGAUGACCUGUAACAGCAGCAGCGUUGAUUUUGAUGGGUGCAGCCCAGAUCCUUCCAGCAGUAAACCUCAACAAGCCGUGAAAAUCCACAAACCGAAAAUCUCAAAUGAGAGCAUCAUAGAAUACCUGUGUUUUGCAAGCAUUUUUUUUUA
rnacentral:lncRNA from 1 species